CCCCAUAAGUACUGUUGCUCUAUUUUGCUUUCACCUGUCCUCAUCAGACUGAUAUGCCCCCCUGUGUCACCCUGUCAACACCCCAACUCUGGGGGACCUUUGUUUUUGAAACCCUGCAGACCCCCGACACUGGAUCCUACUGGAUCCCUUUCAUGCCACUUAUUUUCAGUCGCGAGAUUCCCCCACUAGAGUGUUUGCAGUGAGAACCUGAAAUUUUCAUUUAACUUUCCCCUGCCCUAGGUCCUCCCAGUUAGGAACCUAUCACUGUGGAGAAUAGCCAGGGCCAGGCCAGGCCUGGCCUUGCUCACUUGCUCCAAAAAGACUUUAAUUUGCACACUUGCCUCAGGGUGGUUCUAGGGCCAUGAGGCUCACAGGUCCAGCUGCCCCGCGGGUGGCGCCCUCCUCCAUCCUUCCACCCUCUGCCCUCUGCUGCAGUGCCCACCCCCUGCUCAGAGAGUGCUGCAGCAGUAGUUAGUUACCUGCUCCAAGGGGCGAACAUGUGCAGGGGCAGGCAGACACUCAUGGACCGCAGUCUCCUCCUCCUAGGUGCAGAAAUUGUGGGCAGACUUUGUAAUCGCUGAGGAGGGGGAAGAGGAGGGAUUGGCGCUCUCCUGCAGCACCAGCAAGGUGCAGCAACUUGGCUAGGUGGAGAUUCACUGCAGCUGCGCCCGGUUCCACUGUGUCAUGCCUGCAGCCUGCAGCCAGCAUGGAGAUGGACAGCUUAAGUCGCUCUGAUCAGCAGUAUGAGUGCCUGAAGGAGAUCCACUAAGGCGCCUAAGGGAAGGUGUUCAAGGCCCGCGACUUGAAGAAAGGCUGCCUCUUCAUGAAUCUGAAGCACUUGUGAGUGCAGACCAGUGAGGAGGGCAUGCAGCUCUCCACCAUCCUCUAGGUGGCAGGGCUGAGGCACCAGGAGAAUUCCAGCACCACAAUGUGGUCAGGGAUUCCUUACAACACAUAUGUGCCUACUGUAUGCCCUGGUGCAUCCCAGGAUUGAUGAGCCAAUAUUGUCCUACACACAGAUUUGCUCUAGUUUUACGUUUCAUAAUCUUGAAUUCUGGAGCCUUUGUCAGAAUAAGACUGUACAGCCAGAGUGUUCCCAUUCCACAGGUCAGUUCUGUUUGUCAUCCUUGUAGACUAUGAAUCUAUCUCUGGAGAAAGUAUUCCAUGGCCACUGUGUGCUCCCUGAGAUUCGUGUUUACUCCUUCAGGUUAGUCCAGCCUUGAG